GAAUCACAGAAAAAUAUAUAAAUCAGAUUAUCAGAGGGAUUAGAAAGUAUACUGAAGCCUUGGGGAAAACUAGGAAAUGCGAGCAGUCCGAUCGCACUUCCUGCUCGUUGAAUGACAACGUCGGACUGCAUGCAGACAGCUGCAGCGGGCGGGACACACACACAUAUAAAUACACAUUCUGUACAAGCAAUUGACCGGAACGAGGGUAAAAGUGAUGACAAGUGUCCUUUUUUAUUGUUAUUCUUUUUAUAAAUGACUUCCAAUAUGUUGUGCAUCUUGGGUAAAACGUGUUUGACGUAUUUUCAAAAGCUGAUCCUGCAUUAUUUGUGCGUAUGCAUGGUCUGAGGAGGUUCAAAAUUGGUUCGCAGAGUACAAACAACAAGUACGAACACAUUGAUGAAUCAAAGAUUUGUGCGUCAAGCGCGCGUACGUAAAUCUGUGCGUGCGCACGGUUAGUGAAUGAGGCCCAUUGUAAGGAAGUAAAGGCAGCUACUUGUUCAAACAGCAAACGAGAAGAACACGGAUACUGUUGCAAUCUUAACAUGACUAAAUGUUAUUUGUGACAUAUGUGAAAAUGACCCAUUCUAAAGCCUGGAAAUUCUACUCACCCAGAUCCAUGAUGCACUACAAUGGCUGCCAGGUCAUACCGACAGCUCUCCGCUAACAAACUCUCUGGCUGAAAAGACACAAGCAAGUUAUGCAUCCACCAGACGUUCGGCACCCAUUCCAGUACCCAGUGCAGAGAAAAAAGGUUGUGCUUCGAGCAGAAGUCGGGACUGGUUUCAAGGACAAUGACAACCACACAAAACCACCACCAAAGAAUAAAAUCCAGAUGUGGAUAAAACUUUGCUAGGUUUUAUGUGCAAGCUAAUAAAAAUUUGGAGGAAAAAAAUUCUAAGUGUGGGAACCCCAUUUGUUCAUGCAUUUGUGUCUAAUGUAAAUUCUGUACAGUUAUAAUAAAUAAAUAUUUUUUCUGUCAAAAGUACUUUUUCUGUGUUGUUGUAUGUGCAGAUGUUUGAGAUUUCCACAAAAGGAAAAAAAAUAUUGGUGUCAAAGUCAUUGUU